GGAGACUCUUAAGAGUUUCCCUUCACUCCUCACACCACACUCCGCCCGGACCUUUUUAGUUUGGGCGGUU
rnacentral:sRNA from 20 species